CCAUUUUGUCGUGCCACCACACCCUAGCACGGUCAAGACCAAACUUGUUGCGUUUGGCAUGGAGGAAGCGACAUCGAAGAAGGCUCUCCAUCUUAGAGGAAGCAACAUGGCUCGCACUCUCUCUCCUUGAUCCCUUUCCUCCUCCCUCCCUCCCUCACCAAUGGUGAUGGCCUUGACCGUGAUUGGUUGGGUUUUUAGGUUUGGAAUUUGU
rnacentral:lncRNA from 1 species